rnacentral:rRNA from 1 species
UGAGCUUGAUCCUGGCUCAGGAUGAACGCUAGCGGCAGGCUUAACACAUGCAAGUCGAGGGGUAUAAGUCUUCGGAUUUAGAGACCGGCGCACGGGUGCGUAACGCGUAUGCAAUCUACCUUUUACAGAGGGAUAGCCCAGAGAAAUUUGGAUUAAUACCUCAUAGCAUAGCAGCUUCGCAUGAAGCCACUAUUAAAGUCACAACGGUAAAAGAUGAGCAUGCGUCCCAUUAGCUAGUUGGUAAGGUAACGGCUUACCAAGGCUACGAUGGGUAGGGGUCCUGAGAGGGAGAUCCCCCACACUGGUACUGAGACACGGACCAGACUCCUACGGGAGGCAGCAGUGAGGAAUAUUGGACAAUGGGCGCAAGCCUGAUCCAGCCAUGCCGCGUGCAGGAUGACGGUCCUAUGGAUUGUAAACUGCUUUUAUACGAGAAGAAACACUCCUUCGUGAAGGAGCUGACGGUAU